AAAGAAGGGGCAGAGACAGAGACAGAGACAGAGACGUAAAGAAGGGGCAGAGACAGAGACAGAAAGAAGGGGCAGAGACAGAGACAGAAAGAAGGGGCAGAGACAGAGACAGAAAGAAGGGGCAGAGACAGAGACAGAGGCAGAAAGAAGGGGCAGAGACAGAGAAAGAAAGAAGGGGCAGAGACAGAGACAGACAGAAAGAAGGGGCAGAGACAGAGACAGAAAGAAGGUGCAGAGAUGGAGACAGAGACGGAAAGAAGGGGCAGAGACAGAGACAGAGACAGAAAGAAGAGGCAGAGACAGAGACAGAGACAGAAAGAAGAGGCAGAGACAGAGACAGAGACAGAAAGAAGGUGCAGAGACAGAGACAGAGACAGAAAGCAGGGGCAGAGACAGAGACAGAAAGAAGAGACAGAGACAUAGACAGAAAGAAGGGGCAGAGACAGAGACAGAGUAAGAAAGAAGGGGCAGAGACAUAGACAGAAAGAAGGUGCAGAGACAGAGACAGAGACAGAAAGAAGGGGCAGAGACAGAGACAGAAAGAAGAGGCAGAGACAGAGACAGAAAGAAGGGGCAGAGACAGAGACAG
ensembl:lncRNA